rnacentral:rRNA from 1 species
AUUGAACGCUGGCGGCAGGCCUAACACAUGCAAGUCGAGCGGAGCGGCGGACGGGUGAGUAAUGCCUAGGAAUCUGCCUGGUAGUGGGGGAAAACGUCCGGAAACGGGCGCUAAUACCGCAUACUCUCAGAUGAGCCUAGGUCGGUUUAGCUAGGUGGUGGGGUAAAGGCCUACAAAGGCGACGCUCCGUAACUGGUCUGAGAGGAUGAUCAGUCACACUGGAACUGAUACACGGUCCAGACGCCUACGCGAUGCAUCAGUGGGGAAUAUUGCAGAAUGGGCGAAAGCCUUAUCCAGACAUGCCGCGUGUGUGAAGAAGGUCUUCGGAUUGUAAAGCACUUUCAGUUGGGAGGCGUUACCAACAGAAUAAGCACCGGCUAACUUCGUGCCAGCAGCCGCGGUAAUAC